UAAAUAAGAUUUUAUUUACAGUUUAUUAACAGUCACGUGUGGUCUGGAUAAACUGUGGCUACAGUCCGAUCAACUUCCUUUUUGGACUUGACUUCGAAGAGAUCUGAAAACUUGCUUCAACAAACUUAGAGAUGCCACGCAAGGUGAACCUUCGUGCUGAGCACAUGAGGAAGACCUGGGCUGCCCGCAAGCAGUCCAGUGUCCCGCCUUCCCCCGAUGACCCUGGCUUGGGCACUGGAGAAAUCCAUCCCCACCAGUACGCUGUGAUAGCGAGCAAAAACUCUGAGAAUACUCUGAAAUAUGCUGAAAAAGCGCAAAACUCUGAAAAAACCCCUGAAAAACCUCUGAAAACCUCUGAACAACCUCUGCCUGUCUCUGAUCACUCUCUGCCUCCCUCUGCUCAAUCUCUGCCCAACUUUGGCAAUGUUCCUGAACAGAAUAAUCACAUGUCUGAUAUUCCUGUCCGUAAGCAGUGUGUUGGAAUGCAUGUCCCUGCCACCAUGACUGAAGCUGUUGAGGCACCUACUGCUGAAUCCAAGCUUGCAGAAAACCAUCCUGAUGAAAGUGCUCCUGCUGAAACCAGUAUGGCCCAAGCACCUGUAAAGUUUUUUGUACAAGGGUCAUUCUCACAGCUCCACUACCAAUUUGGGGAUAAUGCAGGUAAACAGUGUGUAGCUAACAGUUUAGCAGCAGUGAUGAUGAAUGAGUUGAAAAGCAUAACAACCUGGAGUAAUGACAGGAAGAGUAAUGAUGUUGACACUGUUCUUGAAGGCAACAAGUUGUACACUACUCUUAAAGAUGGUGGUCAAAUAAGUGGGAAAAGUGGAUAUCUGCUUCUUGAUGAGUUGCCAAAUGCAUAUGUAAUGAAAGAUGCACACUUCUCAAUAAAUUGUGGUCCAGCUUU